rnacentral:lncRNA from 1 species
UAUUUAAAUUUUAUUCUAUUGUGAUGCAUUGAUAUCGUGAUGAGAUGUUUUGCAUACUUAUGGAGAGAGUUCUUCUUAAGUAUGCGGUGGUUGCCAUAACCUCUGACUUACGAUUUUGGAUCGGGGGCAUGAUAAUUUAUAUGGUAUCAGAGCAUAAGUAGAUAAACUAUAUUGUUGCCCAGCUAUGCAAUCUAAGAGGGGGG